rnacentral:tRNA from 1 species
GGCUAUGGGUCAGCUCAAGUGGUAGAGCAUCUGUCUGGUAAGCACAUGACCCUGGGUUCAUACUCCAGCACUGCCA